rnacentral:lncRNA from 1 species
UCAACUUGUGGGGAAAGUGGUAUAUCUUGUUCUCGAUUUUGAGGGCUAUUUGGAGCUUAGCUUGAGGCAUUAUGUAGUUGUCUUGGAGGAUUGGUCAUUGGAAGUAAAGUUUCAGGAGUAAAAGCAUGAGAGUUCCUUCGACUCUCCAUUCGAUCCAACCUCUCACGCAUAGUUAACACAUCCGAGUCAAUUUUUUUAAGACCUACAUUUGCCUAGCAAGGUCUCGGGAAAAAGCAUCAAG